CUACGGGGUGCUCCAGUAGGGAAUCUUAGACAAUGGGGGAAACCCUGAUCUAGCCAUGCCGCGUGAGUGAUGAAGGCCUUAGGGUUGUAAAGCUCUUUCGCUGGGGAAGAUAAUAACGGUACCCAGUAAAGAAACCCCGGCUAACUCCGUGCCAGCAGCCGCGGUAAUACGGAGGGGGUUAGCGUUGUUCGGAAUUACUGGGCGUAAAGCGCGCGUAGGCGGGCUAUUAAGUCAGGGGUGAAAUCCCGGGGCUCAACCCCGGAACUGCCUUUGAUACUGGUAGUCUUGAGUUCGAGAGAGGUGAGUGGAAUUCCGAGUGUAGAGGCGAAAUUCGUAGAUAUUCGGAGGAACAUCAGUGGCGAAGGCGACUCACUGGCUCGAUACUGACGCUGAGGUGCGAAAGUGUGGGGAGCAAACAGGAUUAGAUACCCCAGUAGUC
rnacentral:rRNA from 1 species